rnacentral:rRNA from 1 species
GCGUCUGGGGGCAAGCCUAACACAUGCAAGUCGAGCGGUAGAGAGGUGCUUGCACCUCUUGAGAGCGGCGGACGGGUGAGUAAUGCCUAGGAAUCUGCCUGGUAGUGGGGGAUAACGCUCGGAAACGGACGCUAAUACCGCAUACGUCCUACGGGAGAAAGCAGGGGACCUUCGGGCCUUGCGCUAUCAGAUGAGCCUAGGUCGGAUUAGCUAGUUGGUGGGGUAAUGGCUCACCAAGGCGACGAUCCGUAACUGGUCUGAGAGGAUGAUCAGUCACACUGGAACUGAGACACGGUCCAGACUCCUACGGGAGGCAGCAGUGGGGAAUAUUGGACAAUGGGCGAAAGCCUGAUCCAGCCAUGCCGCGUGUGUGAAGAAGGUCUUCGGAUUGUAAAGCACUUUAAGUUGGGAGGAAGGGCAUUAACCUAAUACGUUAGUGUUUUGACGUUACCGACAGAAUAAGCACCGGCUAACUCUGUGCCAGCAGCCGCGGUAAUACAGAGGGUGCAAGCGUUAAUCGGAAUUACUGGGCGUAAAGCGCGCGUAAGUGGUUUGUUA